rnacentral:misc_RNA from 1 species
UUGAUUAUGACAGUCUCUUGUAACGGCAGGAAUCUGGCGAGAAUUCUGAAGAUGCCCAAACGACAUUUUGCUCCAGUCUCAAUCCCCCCGGUGUUACCAGUUAAUACUGACGGUGGGAUAUUUACAAUUAGUUACCAGAAGUACUGAAAAUAGCGGGAGUAUAUCGGUCAUGUCAGUGUGGGGGUCCCCGACAGGCGUGGACGAAGAUUCGAGUUUCAAUCGGAGCAGAAUUUAGGUUGACCAUCAAACUUUAAUUAUCAGACUGUGAUUUAGAAGUAUUUUGUAUGUGCAUGUAUCCUACUUGUUAAAAGUAGUUAAAUAUCAAGAUGAAAUAUAUACAUGUAUAAUGGAUAGGCAUGAAAGAAUUAUAACUGUUACUCCUAAGUGUAUCGUGUGUAUCCACAUUGUGUUUAUGAUUGAUAUUACAAAAGAAGUGAACACAAUAGUGGUUCAUAUGUUUUUGUAUUAAUGUGAAUUAAAAAGAUGAUAACAAUCAUAAUAGUUAUGAUAAAUAAUAAAAUACCG